rnacentral:rRNA from 1 species
UACGUAGGUGGCAAGCGUUAUCCGGAAUUAUUGGGCGUAAAGCGCGCGCAGGUGGUUUCUUAAGUCUGAUGUGAAAGCCCCCGGCUCAACUGGGGAGGGUCACGCGAUACUGAUCGACUCGAAGGCAGGAGAGGGAAGUGGAAUUCCCGGUGUAGUGGUGAAAUGCGUAGAUAUCGGGAGGAACACCAGUGGCGAAGGCGACUUCCUGGCCUGUUCUUGACGCUGAGGCGCGAAAGCUAGGGGAGCAAACGGG